UCUAAGUAUGAACUGGUUUAAGGUGAAACUGCGUACGGCUCAUUACAUCAGCUAUAACUUUCUUUGAUCAUAAAUUCUAAAUGGAAUAACCGAGGAAAAGCCUGGGCUAAUACAUGCGAAAAUUCCAAUAGUAAUAUUGGAAUGCUUUUAUUAGAACAAAACCUUCUAGUUCUUUUAUCGGAACUGUUUGUUGCUGACCCUAAAUAACUUUGUGUUGAUCGUAUGACCUUUGUGUCGACGACAUAUCUUUCAAGUGUCUGACUUAUCAACUUUAGACGGUACAUUAUAUGUCUACCGUGGUUGUAACGAGUACAGAGAAUCAGGGUUUGAUUCUGGAGAGGCCGCCUGAGAAACGGCGACCACUUCCAAGGAAGGCAGCAGGCGCGCAAAUUACCCACUCUCAAAACGAGGAGGUAGUGAAGAGAAAUAACGAUGUUAGUCUUAACAAAGGCUGACAAUCGGAAUGGAAACACUGUAAACAGGUUAUUGAUUAACAAUUGGAGGGCAAGUCUGGUGCCAG
rnacentral:rRNA from 1 species